rnacentral:rRNA from 1 species
UACGAAGGGGGCUAGCGUUGCUCGGAAUCACUGGGCGUAAAGGGUGCGUAGGCGGGUUUUUAAGUCAGGGGUGAAAUCCUGGAGCUCAACUCCAGAACUGCCUUUGAUACUGAGGAUCUUGAGUUCGGGAGAGGUGAGUGGAACUGCGAGUGUAGAGGUGAAAUUCGUAGAUAUUCGCAAGAACACCAGUGGCGAAGGCGGCUCACUGGCCCGAUACUGACGCUGAGGCACGAAAGCGUGGGGAGCGAACCGG